GGAAAAAAAUUAGCUAAAAUUAAUAAAAAAGGGAAAGUUUUAAAUUUUUUUAAACAUUUAAACCUAAUAAUAAUAAUAAGCCAAAAGGACUUUAGUCCAUUAGCUUUGUUGGCAAACGAACGCGCGUCAACCGUGUCAUGGGAUAUGAUGCCCUCAGAGGCAGUGGACUCCGCUUCCUCAUAAGCCCAAAUCAGCCACUUGCGUUGCGCACACACAAGUAAAAGCAAAGAAAGGAGAAUUUCAAUCCAUUACCUUGCAUCCGUCGCGGCCUCGUCGGAUCAUUCUUCUCAGCCUCGCUCAGAUUUAUUAGCUUUAACUAUAGAAGUAAAAAUGGCUGGUGGUAAGAUUGCUCACGCCACCUUGAAAGGACCAAGUGUUGUUAAGGAGAUAUGUAUGGGAAUUGUUCUUGGAAUGGCUGCUGGAGGUCUCUGGAAGAUGCAUCACUGGAAUGAACAGAGGAAGGUGAGAGCAUUUUAUGAUUUGCUAGAAAAGGGUGAGAUCAGCGUGGUUGCAGAGGAAUAAAUUCCGUUUCAUCAUUUAACCAUGAUUUUGUCCACUGCUUCAACAGUAUCCUUACCCUUUUUUUUGGUCUCCCAUAGUUGGCUUCAAAGUUGAGCAUUUGAAGAAUAAAAUUUUCAAUUGCGGAGUACAUAUUUGUUUUGCAUAAAUGUGAGAAUUUUUAUGGCUUUCACCUUUUAGAGGUUUCUCUUCCUUGCAAGUUCUUGAAUGGGAUGCUAAUAUCUAUCAGUUUUAUUAA